rnacentral:rRNA from 1 species
UGGGGAAUAUUGGGCAAUGGGGGAAACCCUGACCCAGCAACGCCGCGUGAGGGAAGAAGGUUUUCGGAUUGUAAACCUCUGUCCUUGGUGAAGAAAGAGAUGACGGUAGCCAAGGAGGAAGCCCCGGCUAACUACGUGCCAGCAGCCGCGGUAAUACGUAGGGGGCGAGCGUUGGCCGAAGUUACUGGGCGUAAAGCGCGCGUAGGCGGCUCCUUAAGUGACUGGUGAAAUCCCCGGGCUCAACUCGGGAGGGUCUGGUCAUACUGGGGAGCUAGAGUGCGGGAGGGGAGAGCGGAACUCCUGGUGUAGCGGUGAUAUGCGUAGAGAUCAGGAAGAACACCCGUGGCGAAGGCGGCUCUCUGGACCGUGACUGACGCUGAGGUGCGAAAGCCAGGGGAGCGAACGGG